UACAGAGGGUGCGAGCGUUAAUCGGAAUUACUGGGCGUAAAGCGCGCGUAGGCGGCUUUGCAAGUCGGGUGUGAAAUCCCCAGGCUUAACCUGGGAACUGCAUUCGAGACUGCAUUGCUAGAGUAUGGGAGAGGGAAGUGGAAUUUCAGGUGUAGCGGUGAAAUGCGUAGAUAUCUGGAGGAAUACCGGUGGCGAAGGCGGCAUCCUGGACCGACAUUGACGCUGAGGAGCGAAAGCUAGGGGAGCAAACGGG
rnacentral:rRNA from 1 species